rnacentral:lncRNA from 1 species
GAUAUACGUACUACAGGGCCAAGACGGCCAGGGAAAGAAGGACAAAAUGAUAAAAAGAAAGUAACUACAUAAAGACAAAAGAGCUCUAAGGAAGCCCUGCUCCCUCCGACCUAGGGUUGUCACCUCCAUCCCUCAACCAGGACUGCCUCAGGUUCUCCAUUGCUUCUUCUAGUUCUUCCUUCUUCCGCAGCGUAUCCUGGAGCGCCUGACGAAGUUGCCGGCUCUCAGCCUCCGCUUCUCGAUGCCACUUCCGCAAAACUUCGGACUCCGCCUCUGCGUCCGCGAUGGCCUUCCGCUCAAGCGCCAGUUGGAUUUUCACUUGUUGCAGCUCGGCUGUCUUCUCCCCAAGGGAGACAGAAAUCCCUUCGAUGGUGCCUCUCAGGGCUUGGAGCUCUUCGGUAUCUUGGGCGGAAGUAAGCUGCGCCCUAGUAACCAGCUG